rnacentral:tRNA from 1 species
UCCGAUAUGGUGUAGUGGCUAACAUUAUCGCCUCUCAUAUAAAUAUAUGUACGCGAUAGCCCGGGGUUCGAUUCCCCGUGUCGGAA